rnacentral:ribozyme from 13 species
AUCUUCCGAAGAUACAGAGGAUCUGCUAAAGGAGAGAAGAAGAAAGGAAAAGGAAGAGAGAAACAAGAAGAAGACAGACCCAGAAUAGAUUUGGAGGAUCGUCUUGAGUUGGAAAAGAUUUUGUUUGUUUCUCUUUUGGCUGUUUUU